AGGAAAAGAACAAACUUGAUGAAGAUUUACCAAUUCAAGAUGCUAAAGACAUGCUUGUUGGAGAUUAUUUGGGAGAAUUAUUAAUACCGCUUCUAAAGGAAGGUUGUCAACUCAUUUCAGAAAAGAGACCAGAUGAUCCAUUAGAAGAAUUAGCUGUAUUUCUAUUGAGAAUGGAUCCAAAGAGCCCCAGAAAUAUUAUCAGAUUUGCUGAAGAAGCUGAAGCAAAAAAAUUAGCAGAGGCCAGCGAAUUGGCUCAAAUUGAAGAAGAGGAAAAAUUAUUCAAAAGGAAUGAAAAGAAAAAGAAAAAAUAGAAUCUAAAGACACACAAAAAAAAAUAAUAAUAAUAACAUGAACACCACCAGUAGUAUCUAUUUUUCAAAAAAAGAUAUAAAAAAGAUAAAAGACUAAAUAAAUCAAACAUUCAAGUUCAGAUUUUCCUUGAAGUUUUGUUAUUUUCAUAGUGUUUUAAUUUUUUUUUCCUUUUAUUCUUUCAGAAUAAUCUCUUCAAUCUGGGAAUAUGUCAAAGAAUUGGGUUUUUUUAUUGUGAACUUUAUAUUGAAUGUUUUAUUUUAUAUCCAUAAAUGAUUUUUGGAAAUUGCGAUUGCAUACGUGUUUUACAUGAUAGAGGUUGAGCAACAAGA